UACGGGGGGAGCAAGCGUUGUUCGGAUUUACUGGGCGUAAAGGGCGCGUAGGCGGUCAGCACAAGUCAGUUGUGAAAUCUCCGGGCUUAACUCGGAAAGGUCAACUGAUACUGUGCGACUAGAGUGCAGAAGGGGCAACUGGAAUUCUCGGUGUAGCGGUGAAAUGCGUAGAUAUCGAGAGGAACACCUGCGGCAAAGGCGGGUUGCUGGGCUGACACUGACGCUGAUGCGCGAAAGCCAGGGGAGCGAACGGG
rnacentral:rRNA from 1 species